rnacentral:rRNA from 1 species
GGAACCUACGGGGCGCAGCAGUGAGGAAUAUUGGUCAAUGGGCGGGAGCCUGAACCAGCCAAGCCGCGUGAGGGAAGAAGGUACAGCGUAUCGUAAAACUCUUUUGCCGGGGAGCAAAAAGCGGUACGUGUACCGCAUCGAGAGUACCCGGAGAAAAAGCAUCGGCUAACUCCGUGCCAGCAGCCGCGGUAAUACGGAGGAUGCGAGCGUUAUCCGGAUUUAUUGGGUUUAAAGGGUGCGCAGGCGGCGAGUUAAGUCAGCGGUAAAAUUUCGGGGCUCAACCCCGACGAGCCGUUGAAACUGGC